GGAGGUUAGUGCAAUGGCAUAAGCCAGCUUGACUGCGAGCGUGACGGCGCGAGCAGGUGCGAAAGCAGGUCAUAGUGAUCCGGUGGUUCUGAAUGGAAGGGCCAUCGCUCAACGGAUAAAAGGUACUCCGGGGAUAACAGGCUGAUACCGCCCAAGAGUUCAUAUCGACGGCGGUGUUUGGCACCUCGAUGUCGGCUCAUCACAUCCUGGGGCUGAAGUAGGUCCCAAGGGUAUGGCUGUUCGCCAUUUAAAGUGGUACGCGAGCUGGGUUUAGAACGUCGUGAGACAGUUCGGUCCCUAUCUGCCGUGGGCGCUGGAGAACUGAGGGGGGCUGCUCCUAGUACGAGAGGACCGGAGUGGACGCAUCACUGGUGUUCGGGUUGUCAUGCCAAUGGCACUGCCCGGUAGCUAAAUGCGGAAGAGAUAAGUGCUGAAAGCAUCUAAGCACGAAACUUGCCCCGAGAUGAGUUCUCCCUGAGACUUUAGGUCUCCUGAAGGAACGUUGAAGACGACGACGUUGAUAGGCCGGGUGUGUAAGCGCAGCGAUGCGUUGAGCUAACCGGUACUAAUGAACCGUGAGGCUUAACCUUACAACGCCGAAG
rnacentral:rRNA from 1 species